GACGAACGCUGGCGGCGUGCCUAAUACAUGCAAGUAGAACGCUGAAGGAGGAGCUUGCUUCUCUGGAUGAGUUGCGAACGGGUGAGUAACGCGUAGGUAACCUGCCUGGUAGCGGGGGAUAACUAUUGGAAACGAUAGCUAAUACCGCAUAAUAGUAGAUGUUGCAUGACAUUUGCUUAAAAGGUGCAAUUGCAUCACUACCAGAUGGACCUGCGUUGUAUUAGCUAGUUGGUGGGGUAACGGCUCACCAAGGCGACGAUACAUAGCCGACCUGAGAGGGGGAGCGGCCACACUGGGACUGAGACACGGCCCAGACUCCUACGGGAGGCAGCAGUAGGGAAUCUUCGGCAAUGGACGGAAGUCUGACCGAGCAACGCCGCGGGAGGGAAGAAGGUUGUCGGAUCGUAAAGCUCUGUUGUAAGAGAAGAACGAGUGUGAGAGUGGAAAGUUCACACUGUGACGGUAUCUUACCAGAAAGGGACGGCUAACUACGUG
rnacentral:rRNA from 1 species